UACGGAGGGUGCAAGCAUUAAUCGGAUUUAUUGGGUGUAAAGAGCAUGUAGGCGGGUAAGUAAGUCAGAUGUGAAAUUUCGAAGCUCAACUUCGAAGCUGCAUUUGAAACUACUUAUCUUGAGGGUAGACGGAGAAAACGGAAUUCCAAGUGUAGCGGUGAAAUGCGUAGAUAUUUGGAAGAACACCGGUGGCGAAGGCGGUUUUCUAGUUUAUUCCUGACGCUGAGAUGCGAGAGCAAGGGGAGCAAACAGG
rnacentral:rRNA from 1 species